UCACCUCCACAGGCUGGCCAGCCCCCAGGCUGGGGUGAGCGAGUAUCUCUUCGAAAGGCUCACCCUCAAGCAUGGCCAGGAGC
rnacentral:pre_miRNA from 1 species